rnacentral:tRNA from 3 species
GCCCCCAUCGUCUAGCGGCCCAGGACCCCGCCCUUUCACGGCGGUAGCGCCGGUUCGAAUCCGGUUGGGGGUGC